rnacentral:rRNA from 1 species
AAUGAACGUUGGCGGCGUGGAUUAGGCAUGCAAGUCGUGCGAGAACCGUAGCAAUACGGGGACAGCGGCGAAAGGGAGAGUAACGCGUGGAUACCUACCCCCAGGACCAGGAUAGCCGCGGGAAACUGCGGGUAAUACUGGAUAAUGUCUCCGGACCAAAGGUGUGAUUCCGCCCGGGGAUGGGUCCGCGUCCUAUUAGCUAGUUGGUAGGGUAAUGGCCUACCAAGGCAAAGAUGGGUAUGGGGUGUGAGAGCAUGCCCCCACUCACUGGGACUGAGACACUGCCCAGACACCUACGGGUGGCUGCAGUCGAGGAUCUUCGGCAAUGGGCGCAAGCCUGACCGGGCGACGCCGCGUGCGGGAUGAAGGCCUUCGGGUUGUAAACCGCUGUCAGAGGGGAGGAAAUGCCGUGGGGUUCUCUCCACGGUUUGACCUAUCCUCAGAGGAAGGACGGGCUAAGUUCGUGCCAGCAGCCGCCGUAAUAC